UACGUAGGGUGCAAGCGUUAAUCGGAAUUACUGGGCGUAAAGCGUGCGCAGGCGGUUGUGCAAGACAGAUGUGAAAUCCCCGGGCUCAACCUGGGAAUUGCAUUUGUGACUGCACGGCUAGAGUGUGUCAGAGGGGGGGUAGAAUUCCACGUGUAGCAGUGAAAUGCGUAGAGAUGUGGACGGAAUACCGAUGGCGAAGGCAGCCCCCUGGGAUAACACUGACGCUCAUGCACGAAAGCGUGGGGAGCAAACAGG
rnacentral:rRNA from 1 species